rnacentral:ribozyme from 1 species
GCUGCUCGAAACUUUGCACACCUCUCCGUGGUGAGCAGCAGGCAACACAGUAAUAUGAUACUGUGGCUAAGAAUGCGAAG